UAGGGAAUCUUCCGCAAUGGGCGAAAGCCUGACGGAGCAACGCCGCGUGAGUGAUGAAGGUCUUCGGAUCGUAAAACUCUGUUAUUAGGGAAGAACAAAUGUGUAAGUAACUAUGCACGUCUUGACGGUACCUAAUCAGAAAGCCACGGCUAACUACGUGCCAGCAGCCGCGGUAAUACGUAGGUGGCAAGCGUUAUCCGGAAUUAUUGGGCGUAAAGCGCGCGUAGGCGGUUUUUUAAGUCUGAUGUGAAAGCCCACGGCUCAACCGUGGAGGGUCAUUGGAAACUGGAAAACUUGUGUGCAGAAGAGGAAAGUGGAAUUCCAUGUGUAGCGGUGAAAUUCGCAGAGAUAUGGAGGAACACCAGUGGCGAAGGCGACUUUCUGGUCUGUAACUGACGCUGAUGUGCGAAAGCGUGGGGAUCAAACAGG
rnacentral:rRNA from 1 species